UGGGGUUUGAGGCUAUAAGUAAUGAGAAAUUAACAAUCCUACCUAAAAUUUAAGCUCGAUUUUAAAUAGACAAUGAAAGAUAUGCAUAAACAAAAACUGGAAUAUCAUAACUAAACAUGUUGAAUUAUUAAAUUUGCAUUUGAAGAAGUUGCCAAACACGGUGUUAAAAGCAUUACAUAAUCAUACUAAACUUGUCUAGGAUCAAUUCUCUGCCCCCAUGUCUCACGCAUCAAACCAAAACCCACAAUGAUAAAAAUAAAUUGCCUUUAGACAGGGAAAGAGAAACAACGAGCUACUGUUUACUAUUUGUAAAGAC
rnacentral:lncRNA from 1 species